UCCCAAACGAUGAACCCUCCUUCCAUCUCCAAUAUAAGGGCAGGAAUGCAGAGUCCAGCAGGCUCCCAGAAUAGACAUCAGUAGCCAGUCCAUCUAAAAGCAGCCAGACUGAUAAAGGGCACAACACACACACACACACACACACAAACCGCUUCUACUCAAGACAAGCACACCUUCUAAGCUUGUCUAUGUGCGUGUUAAAAUUAGCAUUUGACUAUAGAGGAGUGUUGAGAGGUGAGCACUUGGCUUGACUACUAAUUACAGUUUAUGCCUGGAGAAUAUGAGACCUCUACAAUUAUGACUUUACUGUGUACAGCAGCUUUAGGGAACAUCCAGAAUGAAUCUCCUACCUGUCACUGCUAACCAUCCAUCAGUCUUACCUGGAGGACUAGAUGACUACAAAGUAUGUGAGUUAAACGGGCGUGUGUUUGAGGGCACAGACAUAUGGAGGGAAAGACUGAAAUUAAAACAGGAAAAGUGUAACAGAGGGAUUGCCUCUCUAAUCUAUAUAAAAACCUGUGUGUGAAAAGGAUUUAAUGCAAAUUGCUUUUCUCCUCUUAAGUUAAUUUUCUCUCUCAAAUAACACACACACUCCUAACGGACUCUUGAACAUGCAUUCACACACACACACACACCUACACACACACUGCAGUGCUGUACAGUGCAGUAGAGUAUGUACAGAAGCAGCUCUGGGACAGGUAGAAUCCAGGCCAUGCUUCAGUGUCCUUCUCCGUGUGCUACUCUAUCCACUCCCCUCUUUCUCUUCUCCUCCCCUCAUCCCCUGUCCUCUCCUAGCCAAGCCUCUCCCUCAUCAAUUCACCGGCUCUCUGGUGACAAGUUUAUUAAACGCCAGAGAGUGGAUUCGAAGGCCUGUCGUGCUCUUUAGCUCGUCUGCCUGUUAUUUAAUCACAAAUUUUUUCAUUUGAUGGGUUAACCUUAAAAUCGGCGCAUUUAGGCACUGCAGUUUAAAAACCAAGUCCGGAUAGCGCUAGAUACAUGUUGUAGUCACAUAUUCAGACGGACACAGAGAUGUCAGCGAGUUACUAUGCAACACGGCACAACACUUCAUUCAGUGUUAAUUCGCAACACUUAAUCACGCCGGUUUUGAACAUGGUUCUGAGUGGUAGAGGUCAUAUCGUGGAGACUGUACAAUAACGAACGAUGUUGGUGAUACUGGUUAAAGUUCCCAGCUAUGUGUUUGCUUGAGCGUAUCUAUGUGUAUUCAUACUACUGUGUCUGCAUGAUCCUGUGUCUACAUGUCUCCCUCUGGACAAGCAUGGGAAAGAGAGAGGAAGAGAGAGACAGAAAGGGGAAGAGAGAGGGGAGAGAGAGAGGUGGUAAAGGGAGAGGGAGGGAAAGAGAGGAAUGAAGAAUGAGAGAGAGGAAAAGAGGGACAGAGAGGGAGGGACCAGGAUGGGGAGAGAGGGAGAAAGGAAAGUGAGGGGAAGCGAGAGAGAGUUAGUGGGGGAAGAUAUAUAGAGACACACAGGAGAGAGACUGAGCAGGAUGCUGCAGUUCUAGCUGCAUUGGCUUUCUGAUGGGAUGAGAGAUAGACUGGGGAUCGGUGGUGGAGGUGGAAAAGAUAGACUGGGGAUCGGUGGUGGAGGUGGAAGAGAUAGACUGGGGAUCGGUGGUGGAGGUGGAAGAGAUAGACUGGGGAUCGGUGGUGGAGGUGGAAGAGACAGACUGGGGAUCGGUGGUGGAGGUGGAAGAGACAGACUGGGGAUCGG
ensembl:lncRNA